AAACCGCCAUCUACGCAGAAUCCAUCUUGUUUAGGAAAAAGAAACAGGUACAGAACAAGGAAGGAGGAAGAAAAACCAGAAGAGAGCAAGAAUGAAGGAAAGGAGGGUAAAAAACCUGGAAGAGAACAAGAAUGAAGGGAAGGAGGGAAAAAAACUGGAAGAGAACAAGAAUGAAGGAAAUGAGGGGAAAAACUGGAAGAGAACAAGCAUGAAGUAGAGGAGGGAAAAAACCUGGAACAGAACAAGAAUGAAGGAGAGGAGAAAAAAAAACAGGCAGGCAGAGAACAAGAAUGAAGGAAAGGAGGGAUAAAAACUGGAAGAGAACAAGCAUGAAGGAGAGGAGGGAAAAAAACAGGAAGAGAACAAGAAUGAAGGAAAGGAGGGAAAAAAACAGGCAGAGAACAAGAAUGAAGGAAAGGAGGGAAAAAAAGUUGCUGAGAACAAGAAUGAUGAAAAGGAGGGAAAAAAACAGGAAGAGAACAUGAAUAAAAACCAAAUUAUGAGGCUUUGUAUUGGAGAACACAUCAAAGUUACCAAUGGUAAAACGGAUUUUCCUGCUAUUGUUACUGACAUAGAUGAUUCUGGUGUAUGGGGCCAGUUUUUUAGAAGAAAAGGUGCAAGCUGGGCUUUAGAUGAAAUAAAGUAUUUCAUCAUGGAAAAGGACAUUAUUAAAUCUUUACAACCACCUGACUGUCAGACAGACUUGGUUCAAUUAGGUGGUUCCCAGUUUUCAUAUAAAUUUGUUGAAUUUUGAGUGUCAUUAACUUUUGUCUUCUUUUGGGG